rnacentral:rRNA from 1 species
GGGCUUAGAGUUUGAUUUCUGGCUCAGGACGAACGCCGGCGGCGUGCCUAAUACAUGCAAGUCGAGCGGAUCUUCAUUAGCUUGCUUGUGAAGAUCAGCGGCGGACGGGUGAGUAACACGUGGGCAACCUGCCUGUAAGACUGGGAUAACUUCGGGAAACCGGAGCUAAUACCGGAUAAUCCUUUCCCUCACAUGAGGGAAAGCUGAAAGACGGUUUCGGCUGUCACUUACAGAUGGGCCCGCGGCGCAUUAGCUAGUUGGUGAGGUAACGGCUCACCAAGGCAACGAUGCGUAGCCGACCUGAGAGGGUGAUCGGCCACACUGGGACUGAGACACGGCCCAGACUCCUACGGGAGGCAGCAGUAGGGAAUCUUCCGCAAUGGACGAAAGUCUGACGGAGCAACGCCGCGUGAGCGAUGAAGGCCUUCGGGUCGUAAAGCUCUGUUGUCAGGGAAGAACAAGUACCGGAGUAACUGCCGGUACCUUGACGGUACCUGACCAGAAAGCCACGGCUAACUACGUGCCAGCAGCCGCGGUAAUACGUAGGUGGCAAGCGUUGUCCGGAAUUAUUGGGCGUAAAGCGCGCGCAGGCGGUUCCUUAAGUCUGAUGUGAAAGCCCCCGGCUCAACCGGGGAGGGUCAUUGGAAACUGGGGAACUUGAGUGCAGAAGAGGAGAGCGGAAUUCCACGUGUAGCGGUGAAAUGCGUAGAGAUGUGGAGGAACACCAGUGGCGAAGGCGGCUCUCUGGUCUGUAACUGACGCUGAGGCGCGAAAGCGUGGGGAGCGAACAGGAUUAGAUACCCUGGUAGUCCACGCCGUAAACGAUGAGUGCUAAGUGUUAGAGGGUUUCCGCCCUUUAGUGCUGCAGCAAACGCAUUAAGCAUUCCGCCUGGAGCCCCCCC